rnacentral:rRNA from 1 species
UGAGGAAUAUUGCACAAUGGGCGAAAGCCUGAUGCAGCAACGCCGCGUGAGGGACGAAGGCCUUCGGGUCGUAAACCUCUUUUCUGGGGGACGAGUAAGGACGGUACUCCGGGAAUAAGUCCCGGCUAACUACGUGCCAGCAGCCGCGGUAAAACGUAGGAGGCGAGCGUUAUGCGGAUUUACUGGGCGUAAAGCGUACGCAGGUGGCUUCGUUAGUCGGACAUGAAAGCUCCUGGCUUAACUGGGAGAGGUUGUUCGAUACUGCGGGGCUUGAGGUUGGGAGAGGGACGUGGAAUUCCCGGUGUAGUGGUGGAAUGCGUAGAUAUCGGGAGGAACACCAGUGGCGCAAGCGGCGUCCUGGCCCACACCUGACGCUGAGGUACGAAAGCGUGGGUAGCAAACAG